UACGUAGGGGGCAAGCGUUGUCCGAUUAUUGGGCGUAAAGAGCGUGUAGGCGGCCAUUCAGGUCAGCUGUGAAAACUCGAGGCUCAACCUCGAGACGUCGGUUGAAACCGUUUGGCUAGAGUCCGGAAGAGGAGAGUGGAAUUCCCGGUGUAGCGGUGAAAUGCGCAGAUAUCGGGAAGAACACCCGUGGCGAAGGCGGCUCUCUGGGACGGUACUGACGCUGAGACGCGAAAGCGUGGGGGAGCGAACAGG
rnacentral:rRNA from 1 species